ensembl:snoRNA
UGCCAGUGAUGACUUUUCUUUCUGACACCUCGUAUGAGCUGCUCAGCAGCAUCUGAUUAGGGCUUUCAGUCUGAGGCGU